CCUGUUAGCAAGGGCCGGGCAAGACCGGUGCCAGCCGCCGCGGUAACACCGGCGGCCCGAGUGGUAAUCGUGAUUAUUGGGUCUAAAGGGUCCGUAGCCGGUUUGGUCAGUCCUCCGGGAAAUCUGAUAGCUCAACUAUUAGGCUUUCGGGGGAUACUGCCAGACUUGGAACCGGGAGAGGUAAGAGGUACUACAGGGGUAGGAGUGAAAUCUUGUAAUCCCUGUGAGACCACCUGUGGCGAAGGCGUCUUACCAGAACGGGUUCGACGGUGAGGGACGAAAGCUGGGGGCACGAACCGGAUUAGAUACCCGUGUAGUCC
rnacentral:rRNA from 1 species